CCAAGGUCACGGCUGCUCCUGCCCCACUGCUGCUAUUAUUAGCUCAUCGCAGUACCUUUCGCAGGAAAUCUACGGCGCAAAAUAGAGCUUACGUCUGAUUGCUAACGGGUGCAAUCUAGGAUUCAGGUCUAGUUCACUGGUCAGUCAGUGGCUUUGUGUAUAUAGGAUAUCUACCUUUAGUGUGGUCCUUGUGACGUCACCAUAUUCUUUGAGGCAUUGUCUCGUCGAAUUUCACUUACUGUUGAUGACAGAAACUGGUCAUAUUAUUGCACGUAUAAUGAAUUGAUGUAACUUAUGAUAAUAUUGGGACGAUACUUUCCUUUAUGAUGUAUUUAAGUCAUGCUUAUACAUAUUCGUAUAAUUUAUUGUAGUAACUUCGUACUUUUGAAUAGCCAUAUACGUUUUCAUAUACAUAAUUAUAUUGAUUGUAAUUCUUAAUUGAAGUCAUACAUUGGACUGCUGGCUCAGUGGGUAGUGUCUCUGAUGGAGACAAGGAAUAUAGACUUAUGAGAAAGGAUAAAAAAACAUUGGUGGCUACAAAAAAAAAUGCAAGUAAAAUGUAUAUGUCAAUAAGAGAUUUUAUAAAUGUUAAUAGUAUGAAUAAACGCAGGGCGCCAGUGGGUAUAAAAUUAAAAAUAAAAUUAUAGCUGAAGACCAAAAUACUGAUUCAGUAACAGCCGUGCCCGUUAUAUAAAAAAUAUACAAAAAGAAGUAUAGUAUGAAACGUGUAUAGUGUAAGCCAAAAAAUGUAUCCUGAAAACGAAACCCAAAAAUAAGCAAUGUUAUAACAAAACCAAACAAUCUUUUAGUCUUUUCCGUACGUACAAAAAGAAUAAUAGAAAAAUUAUUUUAACAUCAAAAACAAUUUAGCUUACUUAUAAUUUAAGAUAUAAUAUUGUGUUUGUUGCGUAGAUUAAUUAACAGGUAUUUUGAAGAAAUGUGUAGCUGUUUUCAACACGAUAGAACCAACGUUAAACUUGAUAUUGGUGAAUUAAACUUGAAAAAAACUUGUAGA